AUGAGGCCCCAGCCGAGCUCGGCGUGCCCUCCUGCUCAAGCUGCUCCAGCCACUAGCGGCUCCUGCCCGCCUUGGCAUCCCGCGCCCGCCGCCCCUAGGUCCUUCACCAGCGCGGCCUGCCGCAGCUCAUACACCGCCUCCUCGUUCGUCGUCCGCGUCACCACCAGGCUCGGCCUCGGCGCCGCGCCGCCCCUCGACCUCCAUGCCACAGCGGGGAGCAGGCCAUCGCCCAUAUUUAGGGUGGAUAUGGAGGUGGCGCUGCAGGCGUGUGAUGCCGCGGACUGGGUCUACAAGGGAGAGGGCGCGGCGAAUCUCAUCCUCAGCUACACCGGCUCCUCACCCUCCAUGCUUGGCAAGGUAAUGCGGGCCAAGAAGGUCCUAAAUGACAAGGCACAACCAGCACCAAACUAUGUAAACUUCUCAAGCUACGAGCAGCUCAUGUGGGGUGACAUCCCAGAAUUGAUCGAGUCUGUCAAGCAAGGUUCUGUGGCUCAAGCUUAUGCGGCCGUCUUCAGGGAGCUCUGCAACAUGCUGGAUCCAGGGAAGCCGGUCUUCAACCCCAAGAAGGGCAAGCCCAGCGUCUUCAUGUCCUGGUUCAAGAGGCCCAUCAUCUACGACGUCCGCGCGCGACCCAACCUCGUCGAGAGCACCUCCGGGAGCCGGGAUCUCCAGAUGCCUGCAAUGGGGUUGACACUCUGCUCAUAUGCAUUUUAG
rnacentral:rRNA from 1 species